UGGACAGAUUAUUGUAUUCGACUGUAUUCACGGCGUGAAACAGGGGAUUUUACACUGUUUUUAAAUGAAAAGUGAAUCAAUUAAAUAUAAACCA
rnacentral:pre_miRNA from 1 species